AAAGAAGAUAAACCCCUCGAAUGAAUCAUAAACCACCGCCAACGCCAAACUAACCAUCCAUCUCCAAAAAUGUUAGCAGCUACAGGUACAGUAAGCAAGCUCUUCUCCUCCUCCUCCCUCCCAUUUUCAUUUCCAUUUCCUCUCUGUCCCAAAAAAACUUCCCUUUCCCUCCUCUCCUCACAGAAUCCUCCCAUUUCCUUCCUCUCUUCUCUCUCUUUCCCCAAAUUAACCCCUCUCAAAUCCUCCGCCAACACCACUCAACAUUUCGAAGAAGAAGAAGUCGAAGAAGAAGAAGAAGAAGAAGAAGAUAUCGUUAGUGAAACAGAAAUCGAUGAAUAUGAAAGUGACAUUGAUAUCGAAGACCUCGAGAAAGAAGCUAAAUUCGCCGUUAAAGAGUUAUCUACCUCCUUGUCUCGCCAAUUAACAAUCGAAGAUGACACUGAUGAGAAAAGGGAAAGUAGGAAGCAGAAGCGAAAAAAAGCUACUUCUAAAGAUAUCCCUGACCAUCUUCUUCCAAAAGUUGCAAUUGUUGGACGGCCAAAUGUUGGUAAAUCAGCGCUAUUCAACUGUCUUGUUGGGGGGAAUAGGGCAAUUGUGGUGGAUGAACCUGGGGUUACUCGGGACCGUUUGUAUGGUAGAUCUUUUUGGGGAGAACAUGAAUUUAUGGUGGUGGAUACUGGAGGUGUUGUCACAGUAUCAAAGUCACAAGCUAAUGUUAUGGAAGAUUUGGCUAUCUCAACAACCAUUGGCAUGGAUGGGAUUCCACUUGCCUCGAGAGAGGCAGCAGUUGCUAGAAUGCCCUCUAUGAUUGAGAAACAAGCUACUGCAGCUGUGGAAGAAUCAUCUGUCAUUAUAUUCCUUGUUGAUGGCCAGGCAGGUCUAACAGCAGCUGAUGUGGAGAUAGCAGACUGGUUGCGCAGGAAUUACUCGAACAAGUGUAUUAUCCUGGCAGUGAACAAGUGUGAAUCUCCACGUAAAGGAAUCAUGCAAGCAUCAGAAUUUUGGUCGUUAGGGUUCUCGCCGCUUCCUAUUUCUGCGAUAUCAGGGACUGGAACAGGAGAACUUCUUGAUCUUGUGUGUUCCAGACUGGGAAAAGUUGAGGCUCCAGAAAAUCUCAAUGAAGAAGAAACUUACAUUCCUGCCAUUGCAAUUGUUGGUCGGCCAAAUGUUGGUAAAAGUAGCAUUUUGAAUGCAUUGGUUGGAGAGGAUAGAACAAUUGUUAGUCCCAUCAGUGGCACUACUCGUGAUGCUAUUGAUACUGAAUUUGUAGGACCAGAUGGCCAGAAGUUUCUGCUUAUUGAUACGGCUGGCAUCAGAAGGAGGGCAGCAGUAGCUUCAUCAGGUAGUGUGACAGAGGCUUUAUCAGUGAAUCGAGCAUUUCGUGGCAUUCGCCGUUCCGAUGUCGUUGCUCUUGUCAUUGAGGCCAUGGCUUGUAUCACAGAACAGGAUUACAGGAUUGCUGAAAGGAUAGAGAAAGAAGGAAAGGGUUGCCUGAUUGUUGUGAACAAAUGGGAUACAAUACCCAAUAAAAACCAGCAGACUGCAACAUACUAUGAACAAGAUGUUAGGGAGAAGCUUCGUCUUCUUCAUUGGGCUCCUAUCGUUUACUCAACUGCAAUUGCUGGUCAUAAUGUUGAGAAGAUCAUUGUUGCUGCAAGUACAGUUGAAAAGGAAAGAUCAAGAAGGCUAGGUACUUCUAUACUGAAUCAAGUGGUCCGAGAAGCAUUGGCUUUUAAACCCCCUCCUAGGACGCGUGGUGGCAAGAGAGGGCGUGUUUAUUAUUGCACUCAGGCUGCUAUUAGACCACCCACAUUUGUUUUCUUUGUAAAUGAUUCAAACCUUUUUCCUGAGACGUACCGACGCUAUAUGGAGAAGCAACUGCGUUCAGAUGCUGGGUUUUCUGGUACACCAAUUCGACUACUUUGGCGUAGCAGAAGAAAAAUGGAAAAAGAUGAAGUCAAGGGUGCAACAAGACCACAAGUUAAUCUUACACCAGGCAGCGGAAAAUUGGCAGUAGCUACAUGAAGAUAUAAAGUCCUCGGGAUCUUGAUCAUGGUUGGGAUUUCACUAGUGACGAAUGAAAACUGCUAUCAUGAUAAGUUCAUGCUAACCGCCAAAAUCUUCCAAUGGCAUGGAGCUUCUGGCUGUCACAUGUUCAAGGAGAACGCCAAGGAGGGAUUUGAUGUUCCAAAAGGAUGGAGACCCGAUUUGGGGAAUUGGCUCGCUUUGUUUGAUCUUUUCAAUCCUUAUUCGAUUGUAAUUUUCAAUGAAUUCAAGUAUGAUGGAUUGACUCCUUUUUUACUUUCUUAUUAGUCAAAUAACUAAACAGAUUGAUAUUCA